AAAAAGUUGUGCUUAUUUAAAGAGAAUUGAAGUCUCAGUGAGAAAAAUAACUACUACUAACCUCAAAACAGCAUGUAUGGCUCAUCAUUUGAGGGGCAGUGGGAAAAGAGGAUGUUGGAACAGUCUCCAUAAACUUUCAGAUGACAUUUUGUCUAAAGGUGACACUGGGCACAAACAAGAAAAGAAAUUGGAGCCAAGAUAAAUUCGUUUUUCUGCAGAAUGGGAGAGAUUAAACUGCACACAUUUAAAGUGUAAUAAGUUUCCAUGUAAGUGUGUACUCCAUUAAGGUACCACCACAGUCAAGAAAAUGAACAUAUUUCUUGCCUUAAACCUAUCCUCAUGCUCUUUUGUAAUCCCUUCCUCUUACUUUUUCCCACAUCCCCAGGCAAUCACUCCUCUGCUUUCUGUCAAAACAAAUUUGUAUUUCCUGUAAUUUUAUACAAAGUUAUAUCCUAUAUACUCUUUUGUCUGAUAUAUUUCACUCAGUAUAAUUAUUUUAUCAUUCAUCCAUUUGGUCAAAUCAAUAGUUUAUUUCAUUGUUUUGCCGAGUGUAUGUUUUUCCUCAUUUCAG
rnacentral:lncRNA from 1 species